AGCAGCCGCGGUAAUUCCAGCUCCAAUAGCGUAUAUUAAAGUUGUUGCAGUUAAAAAGCUCGUAGUUGAAUUUCGGGGUCAGUAGGUUGGUCAUGCCUCCGGUAUGUACUGGUCUCACUGAUUCCUCCUUCCUGAUGAGCCGUAAUGCCAUUAAUUUGGUGUUGCGGGGAAUCUGGACUGUUACUUUGAAAAAAUUAGAGUGUUUAAAGCAAGCUAACGCUUGAAUACAUUAGCAUGGAAUAAUGGAAUAGGACGUUCGAUCCUAUUUUGUUGGUUUCUAGGAUUGACGUAAUGAUUAAUAGGGAUAGUUGGGGGCAUUAGUAUUCAAUUGUCAGAGGUGAAAUUCUUGGAUUUAUUGAAGACUAACUACUGCGAAAGCAUUUGCCAAGGAUGUUUUCAUUAAUCAAGAACGAAAGUUAGGGGAUCGAAGACGAUCAGAUACCGUCGUAGUCUUAACCAUAAACUAUGCCGACUAGGGAUCGGAUGAUGUUAAUUUUUAAUGACUCAUUCGGCGCCUUAA
rnacentral:rRNA from 1 species